rnacentral:rRNA from 1 species
UGUUUAUCAAAAACAUCGCCUUCUGAAUAAAUAAAAGGUCUAGCCUGCCCACUGAUAUGUUGAAGGGCCGCGGUAUAUUGACCGUGCAAAGGUAGCAUAAUCAUUAGUCUUCUAAUUAAAGGCUGGUAUGAAAGGUUGAACGAGGUAUAAGCUGUCUCAUAAAAAUAAAUAAAAUUUAACUUUUUAGUGAAAAGGCUGAAAUAUUAUUAUAGGACGAGAAGACCCUAUAGAGCUUAAUAAUUAUUUUAAAUAAGAGUAUAGGAGAAGUUUAAUUAUUUAAAUAAAUUAUUUUGUUGGGGUGACAAGAAAAUAAUUUAACUUUUCUUAAAUAAAAUCAUAAAUUUAUGAAUUUAUGAUCCAUUAUUAAUGAUUAAAAGAUUAAGUUACCUUAGGGAUAACAGCGUAAUCUUUUUUAAGAGUUCUAAUCGAUAAAAAGGGUUGCGACCUCGAUGUUGGACUAAGGGUAAUUUUAGGUGUAGAUGUUUAAAAUUUAGGUCUGUUCGACCCUUUAAGAACCCUUACC